rnacentral:rRNA from 1 species
GAUGAACGCUGGCGGCGUGCCUAAUACAUGCAAGUCGAGCGAACGGACGAGAAGCUUGCUUCUCUGAUGUUAGCGGCGGACGGGUGAGUAACACGUGGAUAACCUACCUAUAAGACUGGGAUAACUUCGGGAAACCGGAGCUAAUACCGGAUGAUAUUUUGAACCGCAUGGUUCAAAAGUGAAAGACGGUCUUGCUGUCACUUAUAGAUGGAUCCGCGCUGCAUUAGCUAGUUGGUAAGGUAACGGCUUACCAAGGCAACGAUGCAUAGCCGACCUGAGAGGGUGAUCGGCCACACUGGAACUGAGACACGGUCCAGACUCCUACGGGAGGCAGCAGUAGGGAAUCUUCCGCAAUGGACGAAAGCCUGACGGAGCAACGCCGCGUGAGUGAUGAAGGUCUUCGGAUCGUAAAACUCUGUUAUUAGGGAAGAACAUAUGUGUAAGUAACUGUGCACAUCUUGACGGUACCUAAUCAGAAAGCCACGGCUAACUACGCG